CACAUCUCUCUCACAGGAGGCUGACCUCUGAGGAAGAGGAGGUGUAGCCUAGAAGAUGACACUGUUGGGUCUUCUGUACCUGGUGACAGCCCUUCCUGGUAUCCUGUCCCAGGUACAGCUUCAGGAGUCAGGGCCUGGCCUGGUGAAGCCCUCUCAAUCACUGUCCCUCACCUGCUCUGUCACUGGUUACUCCAUCACCAGUGGUUCUACAUGGAACUGGAUCAGACAGUCCUCAGGGAAGAAGCUGGAGUGGAUGGGGUACAUAAAUAGUGCUGGUGGCACCGUCUACAACCCAUCCCUGCAGAGCCGCAUCUCCAUCACAAGAGAAACAUCCAAGAACCAGUUCUUCCUGCAGCUGAACUCUGUGACCACUGAGGACACAGCCAUAUAUUACUGUGCAAGAGGCACAGUGAGGAGACUUCAGCAUGAGCCCAGACACAAACCUCCCUGCAGAGGAGCUCUGGACCAGCAGGGGGCAAUCAGCUCUUACCAAGUCCAGGAAUUCAGAGCUGGAAGGAAAAACUGGUUUUCUCUGUUUUUGCUUCUCACUUCCUCAGGGGAGCUUGGAACAACAGUGGCACUUAACAACUACAGAAGCUACUCAGAACUACUAGAUGCCCCGCACAUCAUAGUCAGUUCUGAACUUCCACCACGGGCUUCCUCAGGGACAAAAUUGUAA